CUUUCCUUAUUAUAAGAAGUAUAUGUAUUUUUCGUGUAUAAGGUAUAGCUUGCUAUAGGAGAGU
rnacentral:tRNA from 1 species